GUGAAAGCUCCGGGCUCAACCCGGAAAGUGCGCUUGAAACUACCUCGCUCGAGUGCGGAAGAGGGAAUCGGAAUAUAGGGUGUAGCGGUGAAAUGCGUUGAUAUCCUAUAGAACACCGGAGGCGAAGGCGGAUUCCUUGUACGCAACUGACGCUGAGGCGCGAAAGUCGGGGGAGCAAACAGGAUUAGAUACCCUGGUAGUCCCGACCUUAAACGGUGCACACUCGGGGUGGGGCUUAUAUCAUCGGCCCCGUCUCUUAGCUAACGCGUUAAGUGUGCCGCCUGGGGAGUACGGCCGCAAGGCUAAAACUCAAAGAAAUUGACGGGGGCCCGCACAAGCAGAGGAGCAUGUGGCUUAAUUCGAUGCAACGCGAAGAACCUUACCUGGAUUUGACAUCGUCGGCAAUGCCCUAUGAAAGUAGGGCGGAGGUUAUCCGAUAGACAGGUGCUGCAUGGCUGUCGUCAGUUCGUGCCGUGAGGUGUUUGGUUAAGUCCACCAACGAACGCAACCCCUUUGGUAUGUUGCCAUCAGGUAAUGCUGGGAACUCGUACCAUACUGCCUGUUUACGCAGGAGGAAGGUGGGGAUGACGUCAAGUCAGUAUGGCCCUUACAUCCAGGGCUGCACACGUGCUACAAUGGCCGGUACAGAGGGACGCAAGACCGCAAGGUGGAGCCAAUCCCAGAGAGCCGGCCUCAGUUCAGAUCGGGGUCUGCAACCCGACCCCGUGAAGUCGGAUUUGCUAGUAACGGCGUAUCAGCUACGACGCCGUGAAUGCGUUCCCGGGCCUUGCACUCAACGCCCGUCAAG
rnacentral:rRNA from 1 species